rnacentral:rRNA from 1 species
ACAUGCAAGUCGAGCGGACAGAAGGGAGCUUGCUCCCGGAUGUUAGCGGCGGACGGGUGAGUAACACGUGGGUAACCUGCCUGUAAGACUGGGAUAACUCCGGGAAACCGGAGCUAAUACCGGAUAGUUCCUUGAACCGCAUGGUUCAAGGAUGAAAGACGGUUUCGGCUGUCACUUACAGAUGGACCCGCGGCGCAUUAGCUAGUUGGUGGGGUAAUGGCUCACCAAGGCGACGAUGCGUAGCCGACCUGAGAGGGUGAUCGGCCACACUGGGACUGAGACACGGCCCAGACUCCUACGGGAGGCAGCAGUAGGGAAUCUUCCGCAAUGGACGAAAGUCUGACGGAGCAACGCCGCGUGAGUGAUGAAGGUUUUCGGAUCGUAAAGCUCUGUUGUUAGGGAAGAACAAGUGCGAGAGUAACUGCUCGCACCUUGACGGUACCUAACCAGAAAGCCACGGCUAACUACGUGCCAGCAGCCGCGGUAAUACGUAGGUGGCAAGCGUUGUCCGGAAUUAUUGGGCGUAAAGGGCUCGCAGGCGGUUUCUUAAGUCUGAUGUGAAAGCCCCCGGCUCAACCGGGGAGGGUCAUUGGAAACUGGGAAACUUGAGUGCAGAAGAGGAGAGUGGAAUUCCACGUGUAGCGGUGAAAUGCGUAGAGAUGUGGAGGAACACCAGUGGCGAAGGCGACUCUCUGGUCUGUAACUGACGCUGAGGAGCGAAAGCGUGGGGAGCGAACAGGAUUAGAUACCCUGGUAGUCCACGCCGUAAACGAUGAGUGCUAAGUGUUAGGGGGUUUCCGCCCCUUAGUGCUGCAGCUAACGCAUUAAGCACUCCGCCUGGGGAGUACGGUCGCAAGACUGAAACUCAAAGGAAUUGACGGGGGCCCGCACAAGCGGUGGAGCAUGUGGUUUAAUUCGAAGCAACGCGAAGAACCUUACCAGGUCUUGACAUCCUCUGACAACCCUAGAGAUAGGGCUUUCCCUUCGGGGACAGAGUGACAGGUGGUGCAUGGUUGUCGUCAGCUCGUGUCCUGAGAUGUUGGGUUAAGUCCCGCAACGAGCGCAACCCUUGAUCUUAGUUGCCAGCAUUCAGUUGGGCACCCUAAGGGGACUGCCGGUGACAAACCGGAGGAAAG